rnacentral:snRNA from 1 species
GAACAGUCAGCUCAGAACUGGUA